rnacentral:rRNA from 1 species
UACGGAGGGAGCUAGCGUUGUUCGGGAUUACUGGGCGUAAAGCGCACGUAGGCGGCUUUGUAAGUUAGAGGUGAAAGCCCGGGGCUCAACUCCGGAACUGCCUUUAAGACUGCAUCGCUUGAAUCCAGGAGAGGUGAGUGGAAUUCCGAGUGUAGAGGUGAAAUUCGUAGAUAUUCGGAAGAACACCAGUGGCGAAGGCGGCUCACUGGAGCUGGUAUUGACGCUGAGGUGGCGAAAAGCGUGGGGAGCAAACAGG